rnacentral:rRNA from 1 species
GCAUGCAAGUCGAACGGGAUCAGCCGGUUAGCAAUAAUCGGCUGUGAGAGUGGCGGAUUGGGGAGGAGCACGUGAGCAACCUGCCCUUGGGACGGGGAAAACCGUUGGAAACGACGGCUAAUACCGGAUGAGGCGCCCGGCGGCAUCGCCGGAGCGUCAAAGGGGGCCGCAAGGCUCCCGCCCGAGGAGGGGCUCGCGCACCAUCAGCUUGUUGGCGGGGUAACGGCCCACCAAGGCUCACGGUUAGCUGGUCUGAGAGGAUGGCCAGCCCCACUGGGACUGAGAUACUGCCCAGACUCCUACGGGAGGCUGCAGUCGAGGAUCAUUCGCAAUGGGCGAAAGCCUGACGAUGCGACGCUGCGUGGAGGAUGAAGGCCUUCGGGUCGUAAACUCCCGUCAUGGGGGAAAAGGCGAGGGGACCCAACACGUCCCUUAGUUGAUGGUACCUCAAGAGGAAGGGACGGCUAACUCUGUGCCAGCAGCCGCGGUAAUACAGAGGUCCCUAGCGUUGUUCGGAUUUACUGGGCGUAAAGGGCACGUAGGUGGCUAGGCGUGUCGCGUGUGAAAUCUCCGGGCCCAACCCGGAAAGUGCGCGCGAAACUACCUGGCUGGAGUACGGGAGAGGGAAUCGGAAUGCAGGGUGUAGCGGUGAAAUGCGUUGAUAUCCUGCAGAACACCGGAGGCGAAGGCGGAUUCCUGGAACGUUACUGACGCUAAGGUGCGAAAGUCGGGGGAGCGAACAGGAUUAGAUACCCUGGUAGUCCCGACCUUAAACGGUGCACACUCGGGGUGGGGGCCAUUUCACCGGCCCCGUCCCUAAGCCAACGCGUUAAGUGUGCCGCCUGGGGAGUACGGCCGCAAGGCUAAAACUCAAAGAAAUUGACGGGGGCCGGACAAGCAGAGGAGCAUGUGGCUUAAUUCGAUGCAACGCGAGACCUUACCUGGGCUUGACAUGGAGCUGCACGUCCAUGAAAUGGGACUCCUUCAGGGUGGCUUCACAGGUGCUGCAUGGCUGUCGUCAGUUCGUUGCCGGAGUGGUUAGGUUAAGUCCGCCAACGAACGCAACCCUAUGGUCCGUUGC